rnacentral:rRNA from 1 species
UACGGGGGGGGUAAGCGUUGUUCGGAAUUACUGGGCGUAAAGGGCUCGUAGGCGGCCAACUAAGUCAGACGUGAAAUCCCUCAGCUUAACUGGGGAACUGCGUCUGAUACUGGAUGGCUUGGAUUCGGGAGAGGAAUGCGGAAUUCCAGGCGUAGCGGUGAAAUGCGUAGAUAUCUGGAGGAACACCGGUGGCGAAGGCGAGGUGCUGGACCCUUUCUGACGCUGAGGCGCGAAAGCCAGGGGAGCAAACGGG